UUCCUCUUCAUCAGCCUCACAUCCGCAGGCUGAGGGCCUUCGAAGGACUCCAUCAUUUCUCGAAUCUGCACAGGGUUUUACAUUAUUUACAGUUAAAGCUUUUGCCACACACUAUUCCCCAUGGAAUAGGAAUUACAUCAACUGUUUAAUUAGCCAAGUUUUUUUUUUUUUUAAGAUGGGAGUCUCUGUCUCUCACUCACUUGAUUGCCCAGGCUGGAGUGCAGUGGCAUGAUCUCAGCUCACUGCAACCACCACCUCCUGGGUUCAAGCAAUUCUCCUGCCUCAGCCUCCCGAGUAGCUGGGAUUAUAGGUGUGCACCACCAUGCGUGACUGAUUUUUUUUUUUUUUUGAGACGGAGUCUCGCUCUGUCACCCAGGCUGGAGUACAGUGACGUGAUCUCGGCUCACUUCAACCUCCACCUCCUGGAUUCAAGCGAUUCUUCUGCCUCAGCCUCCCAGGUAGCUGGGAUUACAGGCAUCCACCACCACAUCCAGCUAAUUUUUGUAUUUUUAGUAGAGACGGGGUUUCACUGUGUUGGACAGGCUAGUCUCGAACUCCUGGCCUCAAGUGAUAUGCCAGCCUCCCAUAUCAUUACAUGCAUGACCCACCAUGCCUGGCCUAAUUAGCCAAGUUUUUAUCUUCUAUCACCAAAAUGCAAUUUUCCUAAAAGGCACAAAAAAGAGAGAACAUUUCUCAUAGAAAUUAAUGCAUUAUAACAGCACUGAAGGCAUUCAUUAAAUGUUGCAUGGGAAUUUCCCUCAGGUGUAAUUAAUUUUUCCUUUUUUUUUUUUGAGACAGGGCCUAGCUCUGACACCCAGGCUGAAGUGCACUGGUGUGAUCUCAGCUCACUGCAACCUCUGCCUUCCUGGACUCAAGUGAUCCUCCCACCUCAGCCUCCUAAGUAGCUGGGACUACAAAUGCACACCACCACACCUGGUUAAUUUUUGUAUUUUUUGUAGAGACAGAGUUUUGCCACGUUGCCCAGGCUGGUCUGGAACUCCUGGGCUCAAGCGAUCCGGCCACCUUGGCCUCCCAAAGUGCUAGGAUUACAGGAGUGAGCCACAAUGCCUGGCCGCAAUUAAUUUCUGUUAUGAUACACAUCCUUGCUUGUGGUAUGAUGUCUCAAGCCUCCAUCCUUUAGUCUAAUCUCCCUGUCCUUUGUUCUGCAGGAUAGUACAGUGGCUCAAGCCUAUAAUCCUAGCGCUUUGGGAAGAUGAGGCAAGAUGAGCGCUUGAGCACAGGAGUGUGAGACCAGCCUGGGGAACACAGUAAGACCCCAUCUGUAUACAAAAAUUUUAAAAAUUAGGCCUCGCAUAGUGGCUCACGCCUGUAAUUCCAGCACUUUGGGGGGCCAAGGCAGGUGGAUCACGAGGUCAAGAGAUGGAGACCAUCCUGGCUAACACAGUGAAAUCCCGUCUCUACUAAAAAUACAAAAAAUCAGCCAGACGUGGUGGCACGUGCCUGUAGUCCUAGCUACUUGGGAGGCUGAGGCAAGAGAAUCGCUUGACCCCGGGAGGCGGAGGUUGCAGUGAGCCGAGAUCGCGCCACUGCACUCCAGCCUGGGCAAGAGUGAGACUCCGUCUCAAAAAAAAAUAAUAAAAUAAAAUAAAAAUUACCCAAGCAUGAUGGUAUACACCUGUAGUCCUAGUUACCUGGGAGGCUGAGGUGGGAGGACUGUUUAAGCCCAGGAGUUCGAGGUUACAAUGGGCUAUUGCACCACUGCACUCCAGCCUGGGUGACAAAGUGCAACCCUAUCUUUAAAAAAAUAAAAAAAUAAAAAUAAGGACUCAGAUGAGAUUUAAAAGAGGCAGUGGAUGCGUCACUGUGCCCUGAAGUACGCCUAAUCAAGAAUAGCCUUCCUGCUCUUUGAGGCCUACUCUCAAAAUAAGGAAAAAAAUCAACAGCCAAAAAAUGAAGAGCCUGAUGAUAAACUUUUUUUUAAAUUUUUUUGAGAUGGAGUCUCACUCUGUUGCCCAGGCUGGAGAGCAAUGGCAUGAUCUCGGCUCACUGCAACCUCCGCCUCCUGGGUUCAAGCAAUUCUGCCUCAGCCUCAAGAGUAGCUGGGACUACAGGCGCAUGUCGCCACACCCAGCUAAUAUUUUAUAUUUUAGUAGAGAGGGGUUUCACCAUGUUGCCCAGGCUGGUCUCCAUCUCUUGGGCUCAGGUAAUCCACCCACCUUGGCCUCCCAAAGUGCUGGGAUUACAGGCGUGAGCCACCGCACCAGGCCAGGUAAACAUUUUUAAUGGAUCAUACUUUUCUUACAGUUAAAUUAUUGGUAAAAAUUUUCAAAGUUCAUCACAUUCUUAGGCUCCUAAUAAAUCAAACAUUAAUUGGGGCUAGAAUAAAGUAUUCUGGCUGGUAGGCUUGUUCCAAUGUCAGACCAACUCCUUUUUCCAAAAGGCCACAAAAAUAUACUAGUCUCUUCAUCAAUAAUAUCAGGCAUGAAUACUACCAUGAAAAAAAAAACAGGGUGAAAUUUGUGGAAACAAGAUUCUCACUGGCCUCUACUUUCCAUAACUAGGUGCAACGGCUGCAAGACUACACACAGCCAAUCCUCAUUAUCCUCAGGUAUCACACCUGUGAAUUCAACCACUCAUUAAAAUUUCUAACACUCAAAUCAAUACUUGUAGCAGUUUCUUUUUUUUUUUUUUUGAGACAGUCUUGCUCUGUCGCCCAGGCUGGAGUGCAAUGGCACGAUCUCGGCUCACUGCAAGCUCCGCCUCUCAGAUUCAUGCCAUUCUCCUGCCUCAGCCUCCUGAGUAACUGGGACUACAGGCGCCCGCCACCACGGCUGGCUAAUUUUUUUGUAGUUUUAGUAGAGACAGGGUUUCACCGUGCUAGCCAGGAUGGUCUCGAUCUCCUGACCUUGUGAUCCGCCUGCCUCAGAAUCCUAAAGUGCUGGGAUUACAGGCGUGAGCCACCGCACCUGGCCAACCCUCAGUAAUAUUCUUUUAGGCUUAGCUAGACUUUUGAGAACUCUAGCCCCUAGCCACAAUAGCACUUUGCCACUCAUCCCUCUCCUGCCAAAAGCCUCUGACUCCAGCCAAAUCAAGCCGAUUGCUAGGCCUUAUCUAGAUUCAGUACCUUUCUAUUCCCUGCUCAUGUGAUACCCCUCCGCCUGAAGGGCCCAUCUACCACACCAUUCCCUUAGUUUUCCACGCCUAUAAUCCUAGCACUUUGGGAGACCCAGGCGGGAGGAUUGAUUGAAGACAAGAGUUCAAGACCAGUCUAGGCAAUAAAGAGAGACCUUGUCUCUACAAAAAAAAAAACAAACGAUAAAAAAAAAAAUUAGCUCGGAGUGGUGACACAUGCCUGUAAUCCCAGCUACUUGGGAGGCUGAGGCUGGUGGAUUGCCUGAGCCCCAAAAGUUGGAGGCUGCUGUGAGCCACAAUCACGCGAUUGCACUCCAGCCUAUGCGACAGAGUAAGGCCCUGUCUCACAAAAAUAAAAAUAGAAGAUUCCUUACCCUCCACUAGUAACAAUUUCCUUUAAAUAACCUUCAAGAGCUCUUAGGCAGACCUCUUUCAAUAGGACCUUUUCCGACAUGACCCUCUUUUUGAGACAGGGUCUUGCUCUGUCGCUCAGGCUGGAGUGCAGUGGCGUGAACACAACUCACUGUACCCUUGACCUCCUAGGCUCAAGUGAUCUUCCUGCCUCAGUCUCCCAAGUAACUGGGACCACAGACAAGCGCCAUUAAGACUGGCUAUUUUUUUUUUUUUUUGGAGAGAUGCGUCUUACCAUGUUGUCCAGGUUGGACUUGAACUCCUGGGCUCAAGCACUCUUUUCACCUUGGCCUCCCGAAGUGCUGGGAUUACAGGCAUGAGUUACCAUACUCGGCCUCUGACCCCUUUCUAUUCUGCAUUGUCACCAUUAUCUGCUGACCUUAGCUACUCAUCCAUAAGCUUUUUUGAGGCAAGAUCCAUAGCUCUGUGUCACUGUAGCAUCUAACAUGUACAGUGUAGCAGAUGUGCAGUGGAUCACAAAUAAUGGAAUGAUUACCCACUAUUAACUCUAAUAUCCUGUCUCACAUUUGUCACAUUCAUUACUUCCAGGGUUUAGAAACCCAAAGCUACGGGAAUCCAAUGCUUAUUUUGAGCUUUAUCCAAAAUUCAACUAAACAUUAGUCAGAAUAUUACUUUGAUUACUCCAAGAAAACAAAUACUGGCACACUGCUGUUUUAAAACCUCACAUUCAUUUUUACCAAGAGCACUGGCUGAGUAACAUACUGUGUUCAAGGGUUGGGGACACAGAGGUGACUAGUUCACACAGAGGCCUAUUUUCAGAGAUCUUGUGGUAGAGAUGAGACAUGUGUGUUGAUGGCUACAGUAAAGGUGCUACACAAAAGUCAUGAAUACAGUGCCUUAGGAAGAGAAUAACGAAGAAGAAGCUCUGCCCGAUAGAUCAGGCUUUACAUACAGGCGUCUCCAAGCAGAAAAAGGCACAACAGUAGAGCAAUGGACAUGUCCAAAGUCCAGGAUGUGGAAAGUAGGGUGUGGCUGGAAGGAAGGGUGAGGACCAGAGAUGCUGCUGGAAAUCAGGCAGUGCCAAGUACACUAAGACUCUAAUUGGCCAGUCUGAAUGAGCCGUCCUUUUUAACAAGCUUUUCUGAGGUUUCAAAUGGGUAGUUCAAUUUUCAACAAAUAAAAGGGUGGCCAGAUUAUAAAGAAAAUUAGGUAUUUACCAAUCAUCCUCAUCUAAUAAGUAACUAAUUCAAUAAAAAUAUAUUGAUUAUCUUCUAGGAGCUAAUGAAGACAGAAGACCUGCUCCCUGUGGUUAAAGACAUUUAGAAAACUCAUACAUUGAGCUUCAAAGCCUAAAUAUGGUAAUUUACUUCUUUUUGUUUUUGAGACAGGGUCUUGUUCUGUCACCCAGGCUGGAGUGCAAUGGCGUGAUCUUGGCUCAUUGUAAACUCCGCCUCCCAGGUUCAAGCCAUUCUCCUGUCUCAGCACCUCCCCAAGUAGCUGGGACUACAGGUAUGCACCACCACACCUAGCUAAUUCUUGUAUUUUUAGUAGAGACAGGGUUUCACCAUGUUGGCCAGGCUGGUCUCAAAUUCCUGACCUCAAGUGAUCCACCCGCCUCGACCUCCCAAAGUGCCUGGGAUUACAGGCAUGAGCCACCGCGCCUGGCCAAAAUGGUAACUUACUUCUGAACCUAGUUCAGUGAACUUUUCCCUAAAGACAGAAAAAUAUUUCACUAGCUGAGAUAGAUACAGGUUGAGCAACCCUAAUCCAAAAAUUUGAAAUGCUCCAAAAUCUGAAAUUUUCUGAGCACUAACAUGACACAACAAGUGGAAAAUUCCACCCCUGACCUUAUUUGAAAGGUCACAGACAAGAGGGCAGUCAAACCUUUUAGUCCAGGCAACAUACUUAGCCCAGCCUGGCUCUACAAAAAAUAAAUUAGCUGGGUGUGGUGGCAUGCACCUGCCAGCUACUGAAGUAAAAAGAUCACUUGAGCCCAGGAGUUUGAGGCUGCAGUGAGCUAUGAUUGCAUUGCUAUACUCCAGACUGGGUGACAAUGAGACCCUGCCUGUAAAAAACAGAAACAAAAAUAUCACAAACAAAAAAACAAAGCACACAUUGUUUUGUGUAUAAAAUUAUUUAAAGUGUUGGCCGGGCAAGGUGGCUCACGCCUGUAAUCCCAGCACUUUGGGAGGCCGAGGCGGGUGGCAGGAGAUGGAGACCACAGUGAAACCCCGUCUCUACUAAAAAUACGAAAAAAGUUAGCCGGGUGCGGUGGCGGGCGCCUGUAGUCCCAGCUACU
rnacentral:lncRNA from 1 species